GAGUUUGAUCGUGGCUCAGAUUGAACGCUGGCGGCAUGCCUUACACAUGCAAGUCGAACGGCAGCACGGGAGCAAUCCUGGUGGCGAGUGGCGAACGGGUGAGUAAUACAUCGGAACGUGCCCAGUUGUGGGGGAUAGCCCGGCGAAAGCCGGAUUAAUACCGCAUACGACCUGAGGGUGAAAGCGGGGGAUCGCAAGACCUCGCGCAAUUGGAGCGGCCGAUGUCGGAUUAGCUAGUUGGUGGGUAAAGGCCUACCAAGGCUACGAUCCGUAGCUGGUCUGAGAGGGCGGACGGCCACACUGGGACUGAGACGACGGCCCAGACUCCUACGGGAGGCAGCAGUGGGGAAUUGUUCGCAAUGGGCGCAAAGCCUGACGACGCAACGCCGCGUGGAGGA
rnacentral:rRNA from 1 species